UUGAAAUUUUAAGACAAAAAUGCCCUUCAUCUUUUUCAAUAUUUACACCAACCAAAUCACAAAACAAACCCUAAAAUUCUAUCAUCUUUUUUCCAUCUUCUCUGCCGCUACCUCGUUUCUCACAGGUCUCUCCAACCUUUGUCCUCAUCCUCUCCCAUAGCCUUUCUUUUCUCUGCAUCCAAUUCCAAUCUCUUUUUUUUUUUUUCACAAUAUUUUCUGACUCAAUUGAAACCAUGAGGUAGACUAUGUGUUCAAGGUGGUACUGAUAGGUGACUCUGCUGUGGGCAAGUUUCAUAUUCUGGCCAGAUAUUAUUGAAACGAGUUUAGCUUAGACUCCAUGGCCACCAUCGGUGUCAAGUUUCAGACUUGGACCCUCCUCAUCGAGCACAAGAACGCUCCAAGGCGAUCAGUGCAAGGCCGUACUGCAGUUUCUCGUUCAAGCCAAGAUUGUCAAGAAGGAUUAGAUCAAGAUUCAUGGGUUCUGAGGACAUGGAGUCGUAGUUGAGUUUGUUACCGUUGUAUUAAGUUUGCUACUACCUCCCAGAACCUCUUGGCUUGUUUGGAUGUUCUGGGGUUGUAAUAACAGAAUUGUCUAUAUAAUGUGGAAUUUUAAUGGACUUCUGAUGCAUGAUGCUGGUCUUUGUUAA